CCAACCACCCCCAACCCAACCAUCCAGUCAAUGGUCGACCACCUCAUGACCGCCACCAUCGUCAGAGGGAACUUCAACAACGAGGAAAUUUUCAUCAGAGGGAGGAUCGACAGAUCGGGCUCCAUGAUGGACACCCACCACCAAAUCACCGUCGUCAUCGUCAACAACGAGAUCGUCAUCGUCAACAACGAGAUCUUCAUCAGAGGGAGGAUCGACAGAUCGGGCUCCAUGAUGGACACCCACCACCAAAUCACCGUCGUCAUCGUCAACAACGAGAUCGUCAUCGUCAACAACGAGAUCGUCAUCAGAGGGAGGAUCGACAGAUGGGGCUCCAUGAUGGCCACCCACCACCAAAUUACCGUCGUCAUCGUCAACGUCGAGGUCGUCAUCAGAGGGAGGAUCGACAGAUGGGGCUCCAUGAUGGCCAUCCACCACCAAAUCACCGUCGUCAUCGUCAACGACGAGGUCGUCAUCAGAGGGAGGAUCGACAGAUGGAGGCUCCAGAUCCCCAUCAGCGACAACAUGGCCGGCGUAGAGGGCGACGAAAUCGCCGUAAUCGAAAUCGACAGGAACGCCUACCGAGAAAUCCGCUAAACGUCCUUAGAAAUAGAAUACGGCAGUAUCGGGCACGGCGCCUAGAACUUCAUCUUGAAAGGUUUGACAGUGAGGAUGGGGAAUCGACGGAUAAUAGACUUGAAGAUUGAUUUGUUCAGUAAAACUAAAAAGUGAAUUGAUUGAAAUUUUCCAAAAAAUAUUAUUAUUUGAAUAAAUAAAGUUGCGUCACAAAAUUUUAGUCUGCCCGUUUUCCGUACAGUUGCAAAUUUUGCCCGCUAGAUGAUGUCACUACUUAGCUUUGCGAAGUAAAGGUGUCAAAAGCUAUUAAGUAGGGCAAGUAGGCUUUGGGCCCUCUGCUACUAGGCUAUGGGGAUAAAUGUGAAAUGUCUGUUGUGUAGUGUUGGGUUGCAAUUUCUAAAAAAUAAGGUGGUCAGUGUAGUCAUAGACAAAGACGUCUUCUUUAUCUAUGGUGCAGUUAACCGUAAAAAAUUCUCCAUCCACAAGUUACAGUUUCAGUUGCGUGUUUUUUUUGUUUUUUUUUACGUUUUCUGAUUUUGGAAGGAAUGCUUACACAAAUCUCGUUCAAACUCAAAUGUUAUCAAUCACCCUUCAGUCUCCUUCAUUUAAAUCGUAACGGAACACGUUAGAAUAUGGAGGUUGGCUCACAACCAGUCGCAGAACCAGAAGGUUGCAUAUUAUUCGAAUAUUUGUUAGAUUCGUUCUUCGUUGUUGGAAAAACAGCUUUUGCUUGAAAAUUCAGAUGCCAAAGCAACAGAGUUGAUAAUAGAGUUCUUGCUGGUGAAUUCUCAUAACUUGAAUAUAUCAGAAAAAAAUGGCAGUAAAGUUAUUGAUGUUGAAGCUACAGAAGCAUCCAGUGGCAGUGAACCAAAAACAAGAAAAAGCUUGGCUUUAAAGAUUUUAGUUCUGAAAUGUGCAGCUCAUUUGAAGUGGAACUUUCAGUUGCUAGAGAUUUGAUAUCAAUAUUGAUUGCAUUAUAUCCAAAAAUGCUGAAACUAUAAUUUUGUUUGAUAAUUUUUCUUCUCAAGUGUUCCCUUGACACUACAGCAGUUGCUAUACCAAGAUCUUUUGUUCUUCUAAGAAAACAGGAAAGUAAUAUUUGCCAAUUCCCCUUAUCACAGAUGGGUUUUGUGGGCACUUAAAUCAUCAAUCCAGAUUAUUACAAAACCAAACAAAGUUUUGCACAUACCAAUGGCCAGGUGGGCAGGGUCCAACUUUUGUUCCACCUCACAUUACUGAGGCUAUGCUGAACUCUCUCAAGUUACAAGCCAUUGAUUAUGUUAUCAUUUUAGAGAACAUUCUCAAGGAAUUAAAUGGACAGAAAAUGAUUUUGCCCACCAUCAACACCGCCUUCGUGAGCUUAACCGAAACCUCAACGAAUGCGAGUGAACACAGAUGGCAAGAGGGUUACAGUAUUUCAAUAGAAGAGUUUGAGCUCCAGUUGCGAUGUGAUUUGGCUGUGUGGUUUAUGUUUGCAAAUCAGUAUU
rnacentral:lncRNA from 1 species